UACGUAGGGUGCGAGCGUUAAUCGGAAUUACUGGGCGUAAAGCGUGCGCAGGCGGUUUUGUAAGCCAGAUGUGAAAGCCCCGGGCUCAACCGUGGAAUGGCAUUUGGGACUGCAAGGCUGGAGUUUGGCAGAGGAGACUGGAAUUCCUGGUGUAGCAGUGAAAUGCGUAGAAUAUCAGGAGGAAUACCGAUGGCGAAGGCAGGUCUCUGGGCUAUAACUGACGCUCAUGCACGAAAGCGUGGGGAGCAACAGG
rnacentral:rRNA from 1 species